UGACAUUUCGAUGACAUACUAAACUAUGACGUACUUGGUGACAUUUUGGACGACAUACUACACUAUGAUGUUUUUUCAACAUUUUGGACCACAUACACCAACUAUGAAGUUUUUGGUGACAUUUUAGACGACAUACUAAACGAUGAUGUAUUUGGUGACAUUUGGACAAAAUACUAAAGUAUGACAUUUUUCCACAUUUUGGAUGACAUACUAAACUAUGACGUUUUUGUGACAUUUUGGAUGACAUACUAAACUAUGAUGUUUUUUCAACAUUUUGGACCACAUUCACCAACUAUGAAGUUUUUGGUGACAUUUUAGACGACAUACUAAACUAUGACAUUUUAUGUGAUAUUUUGGACGACAUACUAAACUAUGACGUUUUUGGUGAUAUUUUGGACGACAUACUAAACUAUGACGUAUUUGGUGACAUUUCGACGACAUACUAAACUAUGACGUACUUGGUGACAUUUUGGACGACAUACUACACUAUGAUGUUUUUUCAACAUUUUGGACCACAUACACCAACUAUGAAGGUUUUGGUCACAUUUUAGACGACAUACUAAACUAUGACG